UGCUCCGCCCCACCGCAUGGUGGGGUGGGAAAUGCUUUUUGCGGCAUGGGAUGGGGUCGCGUCCUAUCAGCUUGUUGGCGGGGUGAUGGCCCACCAAGGCGUUGACGGGUAGCCGGCCUGAGAGGGUGACCGGCCACAUUGGGACUGAGAUACGGCCCAGACUCCUACGGGAGGCAGCAGUGGGGAAUAUUGCACAAUGGGCGCAAGCCUGAUGCAGCGACGCCGCGUGCGGGAUGGAGGCCUUCGGGUUGUAAACCGCUUUUGUUCAAGGGCAAGGCACGGUUUCGGCCGUGUUGAGUGGAUUGUUCGAAUAAGCACCGGCUAACUACGUGCCAGCAGCCGCGGUAAUACGUAGGGUGCAAGCGUUAUCCGGAUUUAUUGGGCGUAAAGGGCUCGUAGGCGGUUCGUCGCGUCCGGUGUGAAAGUCCAUCGCUUAACGGUGGAUCCGCGCCGGGUACGGGCGGGCUUGAGUGCGGUAGGGGAGACUGGAAUUCCCGGUGUAACGGUGGAAUGUGUAGAUAUCGGGAAGAACACCGAUGGCGAAGGCAGUCUUCUGGGCCAUCAACUGACGCUGAGGCGCGAAAGCUGGGGGAGCGAACAGGAUUAGAUACCCUGGUAGUCCCAGCCGUAAACGAUGGGUGCUAGGUGUGGGGGGAUCAUCCCUCCGUGCCGCAGCCAACGCAUUAAGCACCCCGCCUGGGGAGUACGGCCGCAAGGCUAAAACUCAAAGAAAUUGACGGGGGCCCGCACAAGCGGCGGAGCAUGCGGAUUAAUUCGAUGCAACGCGAAGAACCUUACCUGGGCUUGACAUGUUCCCGACAGCCGUAGAGAUACGGUUUCCCUUCGGGGCGGGUUCACAGGUGGUGCAUGGUCGUCGUCAGCUCGUGUCGUGAGAUGUUGGGUUAAGUCCCGCAACGAGCGCAACCCUCGCCCUGUGUUGCCAGCACGUCGUGGUGGGAACUCACGGGGGACCGCCGGGGUCAACUCGGAGGAAGGUGGGGAUGACGUCAGAUCAUCAUGCCCCUUACGUCCAGGGCUUCACGCAUGCUACAAUGGCCGGUACAACGGGAUGCGACACCGCGAGGUGGAGCGGAUCCCUUAAAACCGGUCUCAGUUCGGAUUGGAGUCUGCAACCCGACUCCAUGAAGGCGGAGUCGCUAGUAAUCGCGGAUCAGCAACGC
rnacentral:rRNA from 1 species